ACCAUUCAUGUGGGAACCAGCUGUAACAGAAUAUUGAAGCUCCGUGCAACAGAGGGAAGGAGAAAAAGAAGGUUAUCAGACGCAACCAUCGAAUGCUGCAGGAGGAGGUUUAGCUCGACCGUGGUGCACAGUAACAAGGUGCUGUGCACGAAACAAGUUAAGAAAAAGACAGCGGAUGUUCGGUCAUGACAUGCAGGAGGAAUUAACGCGCAAAUUAGAAGAGAAUCCCUACAGGAGCCGAAAUCUUGAUCACGAUUAAAAUUUCGAUUAACUGCACAGCCCUACUGGAGCCGGUGUAGUGAGCGGAGAAGAGGAACGGUGUGGGAGAACUCCAGACAGGAAGCAGUAUUCUGGACUAACGCUGCGUUCCUGUCCGAGUCGCAGGUUGGAAUUUCCCGGUUGAAACGUCCCAACUUCAGGACCUAAUUUCCUAGGAGCCACUGAGAAUUUCUAUUGUCAUAGCCCCUGAAAGUAAGGAUGCACCAAUCAGACAUAGAUACCUCAACUGCAGAUGUCUUUUAGUAUUGAGCACCGAUCUGAUACCAGUUCACUCAAAUGUUCCCCAAUUUAAAAUCUGUACACCUCACUGUGUGGAAUUCAUUUCUUUAUUCUUUUUAAUGUGAGGUAACAUUAGGCCAAGGAUAACUCUGACCCCCGCCAUCACUGUCUGAAUGUACGGUGUGUGUCCGCGGUACUGGAUCGCUGCUUCCCCUAUCUGAAAGUCCCCCAAAACAUGAAGCAGAAGUUUAUUGGCUAAAUAAAUCAGCGUGAGCUGUCAAGGCUGACACCGGAAAAUUAUGCAAGAUCAUGCAGCAAUAACCUUAACGGACUGUGAGAAAAGCGUUCAGGGCAUUUUCACAGCCUACAUCUAGGUGUUGCAUCAACAUAUAACUCCCAUAUUAUGACUGUAAACGGCAUCAAAGUCCAGAAAAGUGACCCUCUAAAGUCAUGUCUUUUAAGAAGUUGUAACAACAAAAUUAGAGCCGCAAAGAUUAUGCAACUAGUUGUCAACUAAUAAAUUAAUGGCAAAAUA